GAGAAGCGGAUUCUUCCACCAAUCUCCAUCACCGCAUUUGAAUCGGAGCUUCCAGAUCUCCACUCCGGCGUCCUCCUCUGCCCAGUUUAGUCCCAUGUCCUCCUUCAGCUUUAAGGUUCGUAAAACGAUGCUGAUUGGUUCUUGAUUACGCCAACAGGUGGAUUUUGGACAUCUAUCCCUUGCAGAUUCCGUUGCCGGUCCCGUUUACGGUCUCCGAUCCAAACACGUCCCAAGUGUUUCUCCGAGAAGAUGUCCAUGGGAAGACUUGCAAAAGUGCUCAUCACCCUUACCGUGCUCCUCCUUCACUCCAGCCUCCAAGCUGAAGGAGCCAUGGAAACAAACAUCAAAAAAACUAUCCCCGUACGAUCCAUGAAGCUGGUGGGUGUAAAGGAGGAAAGCGUUGUCAGGACAUGCAAGCCAUGCCAUUGCGACUCGGGGGGCAAUAUUAUUGCGACAAACUGCUGCACUGAGGCACAUUGUAACAGCCCCGGGGAACCACUUGGCAGUUGUGUGUUUACCAAAAUCUCAUGCGGUUGCGAUGAUAGCUGCUGGUGAUCAAAGUCCAUGCAUAAUGUAUUAAUGGUUGAUGACAAUAAAUGGUUUCUUCUUCAAGAAAACAAAUUUCCUUGAUAUCACAU